rnacentral:rRNA from 1 species
AGAGUUUGAUCAUGGCUCAGGAUGAACGCUAGCUACAGGCUUAACACAUGCAAGUCGAGGGGAAACGACAUCGAAAGCUUGCUUUUGAUGGGCGUCGACCGGCGCACGGGUGAGUAACGCGUAUCCAACCUGCCCACCACUUGGGGAUAACCUUGCGAAAGUAAGACUAAUACCCAAUGACGUCUCUAGAAGACAUCUGAAAGAGAUUAAAGAUUUAUCGGUGAUGGAUGGGGAUGCGUCUGAUUAGCUUGGUUGGCGGGGUAACGGCCACAAGGCUACGAUCAGUAGGGGUUCUGAGAGGAACGGUCCCCCANAUUGGAACUGAGACACGGUCCAAACUUCUACGAGAGGCA